GGGGGCCGCAGCGCCCCCUGGUGGCCGGCGCCCGGCGGCGGGAUGACCGCGCCGCCCUCUGCGCGAGGACCUGGGCAGCAAGACCCCCGGAAAGCGGCGUGCAGCGGGUUGUUUCCCAGAGUGCGGCUCCUAUAGGUGGCACAUAUGAGGACAUUAUUACAGGCCUUCACGGAAUGUUAAUAUGUGCACAGUCACAGGCAUUGUGUUAUCUAUUUUUUAAAAAGAUAAGAGAUUGUGGACCUGUCAAUAUCUUCUGACCUGACUAGUAGCAUGACAAAGGGCACCCGUAGGAAGUGAUCAGGGCCCCCCAGACAGCUGCCUUCCAAAGGUGUAAUAAACAGGAAGAGCACAGCGAGGUAGGGACUGUCUCACAACUGU
rnacentral:lncRNA from 1 species